UGGAAAAAAUAACCCAUCUACCCAACAUACACCGUUGACCCAGCACGUGGGUUGUUUGUGCUUCGAACGUCAUCACAUCAUCACAAGAAGAGUCCACCAUACCGGAUCCACCACACACCGAGCGAUCUUCAAAGAGAACUUCACUUUUCAUCGAGCGAGGGAAAUAAACUAAGAUCAAUGGUCAGCUUUGUCAUUGACACAACAGAGUGGCAGCUGACAGACCUUGUUGAAAGAUUUCAAGAGGAGGGGACUGAUGAGGAGAGUUUUCUUCUUUUAGAAGAGGCUACCAUCAACAGUUGAUCCCAAGAGCUGGCCCUGGGCUGAAG